rnacentral:tRNA from 1 species
GCCUGGGUGGCUCAGUCGGUUAAGCAUCUGACUUUGGCUCAGGUCAUAAUCUCACAGUUCGUGAGUUCGAGCCCCACAUCAGGCU